rnacentral:rRNA from 1 species
GCCAGACUCCUACGGGAGGCAGCAGUGAGGAAUAUUGGUCAAUGGGCGGAAGCCUGAACCAGCCAAGUCGCGUGAGGGAAGAAGGCCCUGCGGGUCGCAGACCUCUUUGGACGGGGAGCAAGGCCGCCGACGUGUCGGCGGAAGGAGAGUACCCGUAGAACAAGCAUCGGCUAACUACGUGCCAGCAGCCGCGGUAAUACGUAGGGGGCAAGCGUUAUCCGGAUUUACUGGGUGUAAAGGGAGCGUAGACGGUAGAGCAAGUCUGAAGUGAAAGCCCGCGGCUCAACUGCGGGACUGCUUUGGAAACUGUUCAACUGGAGUGCUGGAGAGGUAAGCGGAAUUCCUAGUGUAGCGGCGAAAUGCGUAGAUAUUAGGAGGAACACCAGUGGCGAAGGCGGCUUACUGGACAGUAACUGACGUUGAGGCUCGAAAGCGUGGGGAGCAAACAGGAUUAGAUACCCGAGUA